CGCUGGUAUAUAAAGCGCAUGACUGCACGAGUUUGGUAGCUCUCAGCUUCCGUAGCUGUAUAACUAGUUCUCCUGGAUUAACCUGGUCUGACCACCAGGGACAUACGCUGCGACGACAAAAUGACGUUGCCUUCGGCUCUGUUUUAUGGACACCAAUUGUUAAAGGACCAAUGGACACUGAUCUUUGGUAUAGGACAUGCAAAGCAGGAAGAUACAUGCCUUGGCCCCAUGAAGACAGCUGAUCACAGUUAGUGAGAUGACAGUGAAUGGACAAGUGUGGGCAGAUGUGAGAGAAUUCCCUCUAAGGUCUGCAUCAUGUGGAGGGCCAGAGUUCACCACUGAUGGACCAGAUAGACCUGCAGAGUUGCUUGGAAAUGCUUGGACAAUUCAUGCUUACGCUCUCAUCCAGCCUUCCCCUUGAGACAUUGCAGCUCGACAUUGUUUAGAGCCUGUGUCGUAAGAUGGAGUGCCCAAAGUACCCAACAUCAUCCUGCCUCAUUCUCAGGACAAGACAUUUGAAGCCAUCUGCAGAUAUGUGCGCCUGAAAUUGAGCACUGAUGUAUGAUCUUCUGCUUAAGCAACAUGAAGCCUACUGCUCUUACACAUAGGGGUUAUAAUGAUGAACUAUCACUCAAUGUGAUGUUAUAAUGUAGUCCGGUAUGAUGGCUAUUUCCUGAAGUUGUCCUUUUUUCUUUUUUUCUCUUUAGUUUAAGAGACUAUUCUUAAAGUCCAGCCUUAUCCAAUAAGGAUGAAUCGGUCCUUGUGACUUUGAUGUAAUGUGAAGAAUUGACAUUUAUUUAAUAUAGUCUCCCCGAUUUGCUUAAUUACUUGUUUCUCAGAUGAUAUGAUUAAAUGACUCAGGUUACUAUUGAUUACUCAUUCGUUUUGUCUUUGGAUGUAAUGUUAUGAAUUGAAAUUUAUUGUAUUUUUGUACAUAUUAAUAUAUGUAAUCAGAUUUCUGUUGAGCUAAUAAAUAUGUUUUUAAUAAAUAUUUGGCAAAAAAAAAUUCUCAACUGUGCUGGGACUUGGAUGCUUUUGUUUUUUGGGAUUCUGAGAAAUUUGUUGCAAAUGUCUGCUGCUAAAGUAUUUAAAAACAUAAACUCAAACUUUUGUUAGCUGUACACUGAAAUAUCACCUUUGGUGGUUGCACUCAAACAAAUUUUAAGUCAAAAUAAAUGUUUCCCAAUAUUGUAUUGUGAAGAACUGCUUAAAAUGAACUGUGACUCUUGAAAUAAACCCUAUACA